AAUGUAAUCCAUUUAUGGUGAGGAAAAUGUGUUACCCGCCGGCGCCACCCACGAGCCAAGUAAUUGCACCACGCAACAAUCAUUUUUCAGCUUCCAUUUUUGGUUCUGCGAUUAAAGAAGAGCAAAUCGGACGCCCAUUUUGUGUGAUGUUGAAAAGAAAUCAUGGGUUCGAAUCGAAACCCUACCUCUGGUUUAGCUUCCUUUGCGGUUCGAUCAAAAUGGCUGUUGUCCGCUCACUUUCCAUGCUAGGGUUGGCGUUCACUUCUCAAUCCGCUGGCUACAAGCUCAGUGACUUGGUCUCGGAGUGUAAAGCUUCUUUGUUUUCUCAUCUGGGCGACGCCCGAAUUCUAGAUAGGAACAAACCCUGAUGCCAUAAUCCCUAAUUGAUCUCCGAUGAGUAUUACAGAGAGCGAUGUGCGAGAAAUUCUGAGUUCAAUCGCAAGAAUUUGGGGUUAUCCAGAAGGCUUUUCUGGGGCGAGUUUGAGGACUGAAAAGUUCGAGUAGCUGCAGAUAUUGGCUAUAUUUGGAUGCAACUGUUCUAGCUAGAUGCUGAAGUGAAAAGCACCUCCAUGAGCAAGCCAAACCGACAGUAACGUGUUCAUUUUUCCUUCGAUGCUAUCACCCGUUUCGGAGGCGAAUCACGCGUUUCUGUUAUAUUAACUUCCUGAGUGAAGCCUCAUCCUCCUCAACGAAAUGUAAGCCAGGAGACGAUACCCGAAAACCAUGGCGACUAGUGCAGUAAUCUCAACUACUCCAUUGUCCAUUCUCAUACCGUUCACGGCAGGUAUGAUGUUAUUGUACUGCACCUUUAGAAGGAGCUUGUACGUGUGAUAGUUGAAUGACAAAAAGCGGAUCCAAGAUACAAACACUGGAACUUGCUGCAAAAGUUUCACCCAAAAGUGUUGAUAGCAAAGGCUACAGAUGCAGAAUCCACCAGCAAGCAUGAAGGUCAUGACGGUGACGGAGGCGAAAGUCGUGGCCUUCUUGACGUCCAUGAGUGAAGCUCCAAUGGCCAAACCAAGCCCCUAUGUUUGAAGAGUUCCUUCACAUUAGUCUUCCAAACAAACCAAAUGAGCUCCAAAGAAGAAGAAGAAGGCAUACCUGAGCAGCCACAAUGGAGAGGAAGACAGUGACCAUGGUGAGGAAGAAAGGAGCAGCACUAAGCCUUAGGCCUGCCAUGAAGUAGACAACGAGAAGGAAAAGUAUAGGCAACAAGAGAUCAAGAGGAAGAUCACUAGUGGUUCUUGCCAAAAAGGAAGAACCCCCAGAACACUGCUAUGAAGAACAAUAAUCCUGCCUACGAAAUGUAAUUUUAUCUUAUUACAUUCAUGAACAGAAAA